UUUUUUUUUUCUUUUUUUGAGACGGAGUCUUGCUCUGUUGCUCAGGCUGGAGUGCAGUUGUGCCAUCUCAGCUCACUGCAACCUCCGCCUCCUGGGUUCAAGCGAUUCUUCUCAAGUAGCUGGAUUACAGCCGACUGCCACCAUGCCCGGCUGAUUUUUGUAUUUUUAGUAGACACGGGGUUUCACCAGGUUGGCCAGGUUGGUCUCAAACUCCUGACCUCAGGUGAUUCACCUGCCUUGACCUCCCAAAGUGCCGGGAUUACAGGCAUGAGCCACCACGCCCAGACUCUCUCUCUUAUACAGGGUCUCACUCUGUCACCCAGGCUGGAGUGCAGUGGUGCCAUCAUGACUCAUCACAGCCUUGAUUCCCUGAGCUCAAGUGAUCCUCCAGCCUCAGCCUCUGGAGGAGGUGGGACUACAGGUGCACGCCAUCACACCUGGCGAAUUUUUAAAAUUUUUUGUAGAAAUGGGUCUCACUAUAUUUCCCAGGCUAGUCUCAAACUCCUGGCCUCAAGUGAUCCUCCCAAAAUGCUGGGAUUACAGGUGUGAGCCACCAUGCCUGGCCUCAUUUAUGUCUUUGGAAGAACAAAGCCCCCAUGUCAUGGCUGUUCCAUGUUCUUGCAGGUCUCCAUGUAUCCUUCAUCUUUCCAGCCCAAACAUUCUGUUCAGCAGUCAGGUUUCUCAAGAUACUGAAAUUUUACAUCCUUCUUACUUCCAUUUCUGCUCCUCCUUCUUUAAUUUCCCACCUGCCUUCAUUUCCUCCUUUAUUUCACCUUUAGGGUUCUCUGGUAGUAAUACAAUGGCUCUCAGUAGCCACUUCUGCUUACAGGAGAGGGCUGUGUUACCUUCCCACACCACACAUUACUUCUCACUUAAGGGUUAAGCAUGACAUCUCUCAGGUCCAACAUCCUCCACUCCUAUCAUACAACAGGGGCACAAUUUGUAUCAGUCACUAGGAUCUUUCAAUAAAAUGGAGAGAGCUGCUUGCUGGAAAGUCUUAAUUUCAUUGAAAAGCAUGGUUUAACAUUAAUAGAGUUUGCAUAUACAACAUAAAUCAACUCAGGAAAGGAGGCCCUCUUCUCCCCAACUGCUUUACACAUUUCAGCAGUGUGUAAAACACACAACCUGUCAUAAUUAAUUUUAAGCAAAGAGAAUUAAUUCCAAAAGACUAAAAUUUUGAUUAAAUAGCAACAAAAAUCCAAUGCUGUAGUACUGGGAGUGGAUGGAUGUAGCUACACAGAUCUUGGUUACAGAAGGUCACAUGCUUUUAUUUUGUUUCACACCAGAUUUAUGGAGGAUCUACUAUGUACAGACAUCACAUAGUAGGUACUAGUGGGCAGGAGGUGGAGGGGAACAUAUACUUGCCCUUGUUUUCCAGGGUGGCUGGGCAUGAGCACCAACAUAUAAAUGUCAUGGAGCCUGGGUUUCAGCGGCCUUAAAGUUUUGAACUGGGAACCUGAGGAUAUGGUUGGAGUGGGGCUGGGGACCAGAGAGCUAGCUGGUUGGAAGGUCAGACAUACAUCUAAUACUCUACAGUUACUAACACAUUCCUUUCUGUUAUUACUUUUGAUUUUUCUUUUUUUUUCUUUUUUUGAGACAGAGUCUCGCUCUUGUCGCCCAGGCUGGAAUGCAAUGGCACGAUCUCGGCUCACCGCAACCUCCACUUCCCAGAUUCAAGCGAUUCUCCUGCCUCAGCCUCCCAAGUAGCUAGGAUUACCGGAAUGUGCCACCUCGCCCAGCUAAUUUUGUAUUUUUAGUAGAGACAAAGUUUCUCCAUGUAGGUGA
rnacentral:lncRNA from 1 species